CUCAAUCACAAACCACACACGUACACACAUUCAGCCAAUCAAGAAUUAGCUGAUUAGAAAUUCCAGAUUCUGUGUGGCUUGUGGAAGGAGAGAAUGCAUGCUCUGGUACAAUGGAGGUGAAGUCCAAUCAGUCCUGGGCCUCAGUGUGUGAAGCUGACUUUGACUGGCCGGAUGCAGAGAGGAUCAGAGUCUGAACUGCGUCGAUGCCCAUUCUCAUACGCCGGCUUCGGAAGCUUUUCUCACGGCGAAGGCGAUGCCGGUGUGGUCUGUUCAGAUCUCCUGUUCCAGCCUGAUAUCUCCCUGAAUGUCUCAACGGAAGGGGUGUCCAGGGGCUACCCGGGGCCCGAGCUGUAAUGGGGCCACAGCUUCACCAUCACCUGCUCCACUCAGCCACACUACCCAGGAGGCUCCUUCCUCCUCACGUUCACUGGCUCCAACAGAACCCAGAUCCAGCCAGCUGUCUUCCUCUUCCCUGCUGCAGAUGACUCCCACCAAGGAAACUACUGCUGUGUUUAUAAGAAUGAUGUUUUCUCUCAUAACUUCUCCUCUGAGAGUGAGCUCCUCUCUCUAACCGUAACAGCCUCUCCUCUGCCAGCUGUCAUCAUCAGACUGGUCAUAGUGCUGCUGACCACCACAGCUACGUUUCUGCUCUGCAAAUCAAGAGUCAGGUCAGUAGGUGUCAACAGAGAGCUGGAUAGCGGUGCGUGGAGGGGUUGCCCCUGCAUCCCAGGAGGGAGGGCUGCUGGCAGAGAGAGGUGAGAGCAGCCCAGAGGACAGGAGGAAGAGGACGAGUAGGAGGCAAGUCUUUGAACACACUGCCCAAGAUCAGG